rfam:Salmo salar isolate Sally breed double haploid chromosome ssa05, whole genome shotgun sequence.
CCAAAGGCUCUUUUAAGAGUCAUUCAUAUUGCAAUAAGAAUAUUCU